rnacentral:lncRNA from 1 species
GGCUGAUAGCUGUUACUUUGGAGGCCCAUCACCAGUUUGGUAAUGUAACUUUUGGAUUGUGAGUCACAUGACUUUGUUCCUUUUGGUAUCAAUCGAGUAUGUAAGCUAAACUUUUGCAAAUUGUAAUCGAAAAUGUAAUGUCAACAGAGUCACAUGUCAGGUUUGGAUUGUAGGCGAGAGUCACAUGUGUUUGGAUAGUAGUAUUAAAGCAAGAGGCACAUGUGUUCGGCUUGUAUUAUUAAAGCAAGAGUAACAAAAUUUCUUAACAUAU